CACAUUCCGAAAACCCUCGGGUAUCCCAUAAAGUUUCUAAAGGCUGCUGAGAGGAUGUUUUUUGUGUAUUUCGAAUAAUUCUGAGGGAUGUAGAUACAUGAAAACUAUUAGGAAAUAUUUUAUUCAUUUUAUUGAUUAUUUAAUGAGUCUAAUUCAAAGACCCAUUAAUCUUUCUAUAGACUUAGAGAAUCUGUAGCUGAAGCCCCAGAAGGACUGUUGCUGUGAUGGGGUGGGUGAAGCCAGACGUGAGAGAUGUUGUAGACUCUGCCUCUGACAUCUCAGGGCAUGUCUCAGAGAGUCGGGAAAUAGUUUGUGUGCUCUGAUUUAAUAUGUGAUCCAAAAUCAUUGCUUAUUUUUGCCAGAGAUUUGAUUUUGACUUUUCGAUAAUUCUACAGGCAAUGCAAUUUGUGGACAAGCCCAUGAAACCCAAAGGUGAAAAAGGGAAACAGGUUUACACAGACAGCCCUUCCUGCCACGUCUCCAGACAUUCCUGCUGGAAUCUAAUCACCUUUGUCUUUAACCAGGCUUCCUGCCCACAUCUUACCAGUUCUGUUCUAGCAGCAAAGUUUGCUUUACUUUCCUGAGGAUACGCACGUGCACCCUGGAUCUCAUCUCCACAUGCAGGGUGGUGGGUCCCUUCCAUUUCUAUUUCCUGGCUCAUCACCUGUCUUCAUGCUUGGGACUACCUUUCUGUUGAAGGUGAGCAUGUACUCACAUACAAUCUGCAGAGCUGAAAGUGUGUUAAUCAUCAUGGUAUGAAGAGUUGAGGCUACACUGGUGUUCCGUGCCAUUUCUCUUCUUUUGCACCCCGUUGUGUGGUUGCUUUUUACCCCUUGUCUGUGCAGUCCUCAUUGUUGGUAAAUGACAAUGUGGAGACCCGUGGCCCCUUCACUUCCUGCGACCCA
rnacentral:lncRNA from 1 species